CACAUGCAGAUUCCACAAAAAGAGUGUUUCAAAACUACUCUAUGAAAAGAAAGGUUCAGCUCUGUUAGUUGAGCACACACAUCACAAACUGCUUUAUGAGAAUGCUUCUGUCUAGUUUUUAUUCGAGGAUAUUCCCUUUUUCACCAUAGGCCCCAAUGCGAUCCAAAUGUCCACUUCCAGAUUGCACAAAAAGGGUGUUUUCAACCUGCUCCAUGAAAGGGAAUGUUCAACUCUGUGACUUGAAUGCAAACAUCCCAAAGAUGUUUCUGAGAAUGCUUCUGUCUAGAUUUUAUACGAAGAUAUUCACGUUUCUAACGAAAUCCUCAAAGCUAUCCAAAUACCC
rnacentral:lncRNA from 1 species